CAGUUACAUUAUUUUGGGGCCUCGCCUUUUCCGUUUUUUAACUCGCGUAUUUAAUCUUAACAAUUACUACCAACGUUACACUUUCAAUUAUGUACUAAAUAUCAAAGUUUAAACUGAAGAAUUAUGCCGGUUCCACUUUAGGAGCACAACUUUGCGAUUAUUAUUGGUACAAUAUUAGGUUAAAGGUCCGAUUAAAUAAUACGUUAUGCAAAAAGCAGAAUGCAUUAAUCUUUGCUGACAAGGUUUGCGCGGGAGGUAUAAAUAACCGGCAUGCGUCAAUAUCCAUUAGACCGCUGAAACAAUGGGUAGUAUGUAUCACAAAUUCCAUUCACAGAGUUGGCUUAUAUUUUCACUGUCCCAAAUCAGCGACAAUGAGAACUGCUAACGUAAAGUGUACUUGGCAGGAAAGACGGCUGGAUCAUCGGCAACUAUGAAUAAUUUAGUCGAGUUUUCUCUUUUAUCAGAGUAUAGAGUUAGUUAAAACGGCCCACUUUCUUUUUUUUUAACUCAAUAACGAGAUAUUGGCCAUACAAAAUUUGUUGUAACCUAAUCUAUUUUUGGUGGAUCAGUUAUGUAAAAUAAAAUAUCAGGGUGUUACCGAAAUGGCAAAUAUAUGUCACGCAUACCCGUUAUUACGAUUACAAUAAAAUGCUUGUCGCGCCACUGGAUCUUUGGGCGAGAUGAAAUAAUAACAUCGAUAAGCAAGGCAAUAAGGUUUGCCGGGUUGCCAAAUCGUACAACCCCAGGUUCAAUAAGUUCAAAUUUGUAAAAACUGUUAGUAGUAUUGACUUAGAAACCUUUAAAAAAUUUAUUGGGAACAGAAUUUCUAUUACAUUUCACAGAGAUUGUUCUCGAAGUAUUCAUCUUCAUGUUUGUUUACCCUUAGCGUUAUUUUUUUCGAAAAUAAAUAUAUAAACAAAAAUUCGGAAACUCUUGGUUUAAUACGUCCAUAGGUACAAACUUUGCUAAUAUAAAUUCAAACCGCAAAAAAUAAUCUAACCUAUUAUGAAGCAACAAAUUUAAACACCAUUAAUUCGGCAUUAGUUUAAUCAAGCCAAAUUACAAAAGUGACUCACCAGCUAAACUACUUUUUCUUGCAGUGCCGCAGGGGCUUUUUCCUUUAACAAAAUUACUAUUCAUUCAUUAAUUCACUACUUUCAAAAAAAGAUUACCUUUACAUUAUUAUCAGUUUCAUUAUUUAGUCAUUCUGCAGUCGUAUCGGAUAACAUCUCCAGUUUAAUGUUUAACCGUGAUUUUCUUUACCACAAGAAGUGCGGUAAACGGCAUUUGACUCACGAGUUUAUUUGACCCGAGCGGAGCGAGUGUUUAAUAAACGAGCGAGUUAAAAAGUUUACCGAACGUGUUGCAUGCUAUACUUUUUCUACGACCGUUAGUUUUUGGGUACAUUUUCGCAAAACACGAAUACAUUCACUGACAUGACUGUCAGAACUGACAAACGUCAAAAUUCAAAGCCUGGGAAAUAUCUCCGAAAACACCCGAAUGCUCCCAAAACCGUGCGGUAAAAUCUCGGAAAUGUCCGAAGUGGCUCGGAUUCGAGGGAAACGAAACUGACGUGGUGAAGCGACGCUUCCCGCACGCUAGAUCGGUGGGUAAUUAGGUAUUUUGCAGACGAGAGUAGAAAAAAACUUUUCCGAUUAUAAAUUUGCGUGAAAUUUCUAACAAAAUA